CUCCGCUUGGUGUAGUUGGUUUAUCACGUUCGACUGUAAUAGCAUAUUGUUAUCGAAAGGUCCCUAGUUCGAUUCUGGGAGCGGAGA
rfam:Clohesyomyces aquaticus strain CBS 115471 BCR34scaffold_185, whole genome shotgun sequence.